CCUAGCAGUAACAGCACGCUCAAUGCAUCGGUUAUCGGUUCCAAAUGGAUCACUUUGAAGUUAAGCAACGUUGAUCGUGGUUGGUAUCGGGAUGGGUGACCUUAAGGGAAAUCACCACCAUGCUGCUGGCU
rfam:Asian citrus Psyllid, Diaphorina citri - Florida Strain, whole genome shotgun sequence.